rnacentral:rRNA from 1 species
UACGAAGGGGGCUAGCGUUGCUCGGAAUGACUGGGCGUAAAGGGUGCGUAGGCGGAUGGUACAGUCAGAUGUGAAAUUCCUGGGCUUAACCUGGGGGCUGCAUUUGAUACGUGUUGUCUAGAGUGAGGAAGAGGGUCGUGGAAUUCCCAGUGUAGAGGUGAAAUUCGUAGAUAUUGGGAAGAACACCGGUGGCGAAGGCGGCGACCUGGUCCUUUACUGACGCUGAGGCGCGAAAGCGUGGGGAGCAAACAGG